UAUCUUUACUGAAUGAAUUUAUUGGUUUUUGAACUAAAGUUGCUCACAGUUAUUUAACAAGGGAUACAUCAGAUUUUUUUGUCCAUUUUAAACCAUUAAAUAAUGUCAGUUUGUGUCUGUAUAUGUGUGUGUGCGCGCGUGUGUGUCUUCAAAGUACAAAAUAGGAAGGAUAACAAGAGGUAUUGCUUUCAUUUAUUCUUAUAUCUUGUGUAAGUAAUCCCCUUCCUGCUUGUACCACAUGGGUUUUGCUGAUAUAGGUAUUUUUAAAUUAUUAUUAUUUUGUAUUGAAAUCCCAGCCUUUUGUAGAGGUACAAUGUAACAGAAGCAUCAAAAUCUGUACACAAGGGAAGAGAAAAGAGGGAAAAGAAGGAUGGGGGGAAAAUAAAUAAAUAAAUAAACCAAUAAAAUAAAAUAAAUCCCUCCCAUUUGGGGGAAUGGGGAAACGGGGCAGAAGUCAAAGGUCUUUGCCCCAGUUGUGUCUUUAAAAAUUCUUUUUAAUCUUCAAACCUAUGUACAAGUAAAACUGGUCCAAGAAGGGGAAAAACGGUUAAAAAAACCAACAACAACAACAACAACGAAAAAGAACUCAUCCAACAGUAUCAUUAAAAAAAAAAUAUUUUGCGAUACAACAUACACCCAUAGGAACCCAACGAGCAGCAAUCGAAGGUCAUAAAAGAGCUGAACACUAAUGCUAAGCCUACAUUCUUAAAAUCUCAGUCAAGAAGUACUUCUCACUGUGUUUUGUCUUCCACGCGUAAAACCACAUUGGUUUUGUUUGUUUAACCUUUGAGCUUGGGCCAGAAUAAGUUACACUUGGUCACAUAACUCUUGAGGAGGAGGAAAAAAGCAGCAAUUCUUCUUUCUCAAAGUCACAAGAUAACACUUAUGGGGUUUCCAUGUCUUUUUUCCACCUCCUCCCCAAAAUAAAUAAGAAUCAGUGUUUCCUCUACACGGUUAUUAAACAGAAGAUAUAUCUAACAGCUUAUUUUUUUAAAUAUAUAUAUAUGUAUAUAUAAAUAACCAAAACCUAAGAACUGAAACACAAAAAAAAAAAAAA
rnacentral:lncRNA from 1 species